rnacentral:lncRNA from 1 species
GGGUCUCCUUAUGAUGGCUUUUCUAGACACGGGUUCAUGAAUGAUAUGAUGGGUGAGCAUGCAGUUGUGGAAGAUGCUGAUAUUAACCCUGCUGAGUUUUUGGCUUCACAGUUCCCUGGCUUCUCUGCUCAGAGCGUUGCUGAAGUUUACUUUGCCAAUGGCUGUAAUUUGAACCUGACUAUUGAGAUGUUGACUCAGUUGGAGGUAUACUUGCAUCUGUUAAUUCAAAUUGACAAAAAUAAGUUUGCCAUCCUCAAUCAAGGCAGCUUGCAUGUCUACUGUUACAUUGGAUUGUUGUCAGUUAAUAUUUCUCUUUAAAGUUAAAUAUUGUAUUUUUUUCAAAAAAUCAAGUCAAAGAAAACAUUAUUAAAUUGUUCAUGCUAAUUCUUUAGAUUCUAUGUAUCCUUUUCAUUGUGUGUGAAUUGAGGUGUAUGAUGGGAUUUAUUUGUUUUGACUUGUAGCUUCAAGUUGACGGUGGUUUUAAUGAGAAUUUGAACUCAAAGGCCUUGUCAGCUCCUGAUCUUAGUUCAAUGGACUUCCCUGCACUUACGCCAACAGAUGGUCAUCAUGAUCAUUCAAAAUAUGCUGGAGAUGCUGAUCUCCAGCAAAGCAAUCCUUAUCGAUCUUCUGACAAAGACAACAUGCUUUUGUUCAAGUCUAGCUCAUCAAUUCCUAAUAGAGGUGCAAUAGAUUUUGCUUCAGCUGUCAGAAAAUUAGCAACCCAGGAUUCUGGAUGGAAGUAUGAGAGAAAUGGUUCUGCUGAUGCUGCUAUUGGCUCAAGCCGUUCCCAUCUUUCGAACAGCACUUACAAUACUGGGCAUGGAAGAGGCAUGUACAGCGACAGGUCGCAGAAUCGUGGUUCAGCUCGAACUGCACCUGUUUGGCUUGAAACGGGAGAUGCCGUUGGUAAUGUCCCUUGGUCAACCAAAUUAGUUCUGUUCAUUUUUGUUUAGUUAUGGACAUUCUUCUCGAUCUAUAUAUGCUUUAACAUUGUUGAGAUGACAGCAAAUAUGUAUUCUGAUCUGCGGGAUGAAGCUCGGGACCAUGCACGCCUACGUAAUGCAUAUUUUGAGCAGGUUUGUCUUCAAUGUUCUUCGCCUUAAAUGGUCUGUUUCUGCACCCUUUCCGCCACAUCCUUCUUGCUUUAUGUUAAGAGUGAAGCCUUAAAUUGGCUUAAAAUUGUGUUGGUGCAGCAUAUGGACAUCUUGGUAGAUUUAAUUUUCGAUCAUGAUUGACUCUAGUGAGUUGAACACCAAUUCUCUUUGCCUAAGAUGUCAACAUUAAAAAUUAAAUACAUGGCCAAGAAACAAACUGCAGCAGCACAUGGUGGGUGUUCACCUUCCAUGGGUUGGAAACAAAUGUGUAUUUAACCAAUAGGUAUUUGUAGGAGUGUUUUUCCCAUAUCAAAUUGUCAUACCGGCAUGCUACUGCAGUUUCAUUUUUUUCCUUUCUACCAUGCGUGCCGAAUGUUGAGCCACAUAAUGAUUUGUGGGUUCACUCCAAUCCCCUCUACUAACUUUUUCAGCUAAUGUUGCUAUGAAACCAAAUUUACCCUUACUGUUUCUAUUAAAAAACAGGCACGGCAAGCAUACCUUGUUGGAAACAAGGCUCUAGCAAAGGAGCUGAGCGUUAAAGGACAGCUGCACAACAUGCAUAUGAAGGAAGCUCAUGGAAAAGCUCAAGAGUCUAUAUAUCGUCAGAGGUUUGUUGUCCCCCACUGUUUGUGCUCCGCCUGGGCAAGGAUGCCCUAGUAUUUAUAGAAUUUUGUUUAACCAUACUGUCUAUACUUAUGUGCAUUUGUGAUGGCUUGAUGCGGUCUUUUGGUUUCUUUUCAUUUCUUAGUUAAGUCGUUUGGAUUAGACUAAAAUUUUAAACCCCUCCUCGUCUUGUCUACUGAAAUCCAUUUAUCUUCGAGGGAAUAAACGAAUAUUCUGGUUGACUUAUUACCACCUCCUGAACUUCUUGUUAUUUUGAUCCGAGAAUGCUUCUAUAUAAGCAUCGCUAGAGUGCUACUUGAUCAUGCAGAGUAACAUACUUAACGCAGUUGACUAAUUUUUGCGUUCACCCUCAAUGACCUUAGUUUUGAUGUUUUUCUUGUUUUAUUGAUAAAGUUAAUCGGUUGCCUUUUCUGCUGUUGUGUACUGUUUUCUGAAAACACAGGAACCCAGUUUCUCCAGAGAUGCAGGGCAAUGGGAGAUCACAAGAGAGGAUGAUAGACCUGCACGGGCUGCACGUAAGUGAAGCCCUUCAUGUCCUGAAGCACGAGCUGAGCGUGUUGAGGAAUGCUGCCAGAGCAGGAGAGCCUGGUCUUCUGGUUUAUAUAUGUGUUGGAACGGGCCACCACACCAGGGGUUCCCGCACUCCAGCUAGGCUCCCAAUUGCUGUACAGCGAUACCUACUCGAAGAAGGCCUUGACUACACUGAACCACAGCCAGGGCUGCUCCGAGUUCUGUUAUACUGAGCCACGAAGAUGACGUGUUUGAGGUAUAGGAUGUUUUUUUAACACAGCACAGUCCGUGAAGCCAUAGUCAUCAUAGCGAAUCUUGUAUCUGUAUAUGGGAAGAAAACAAGUUUAGUCCAAGUCUGAAAAACGAAAGGAAAAAAAACGAAGGAUCGGAAAGUUAGAGGGAAAAAGACCGACAAAACGAAAAAAAAGAAGUGUAUCAUUAAGUUGGAGCAGUUGACCGAGGGAUUACGUUUUCUGUAGCCGAAAAUGAUCCUACAUUAGCAGGUGCCUUGCAUCUUUUGCUUUUUUUGUAUCUUAAAAUUUUAUUUCUUUGUCAAAUUCCUUUUUGAUUCCCAGAUGUAACUGAUAGAAUUGA